GCCGAUGUGACUCAGUGGUUGCAGUGUUGGCCUGUGCACCAAAGGGUCACAGGUUCAAUUCCCUGUCAAGGGCA
rnacentral:tRNA from 1 species